UACGAAGGGGGCUAGCGUUGUUCGGAAUUACUGGGCGUAAAGCGCACGUAGGCGGACAUUUAAGUCAGGGGUGAAAUCCCAGAGCUCAACUCUGGAAUUGCCUUUGAUACUGGGUGUCUUGAGUAUGGAAGAGGUGAGUGGAAUUCCGAGUGUAGAGGUGAAAUUCGUAGAUAUUCGGAGGAACACCAGUGGCGAAGGCGGCUCACUGGUCCAUUACUGACGCUGAGGUGCGAAAGCGUGGGGAGCAAACAGG
rnacentral:rRNA from 1 species